UACGAAGGGGGCUAGCGUUGCUCGGAAUCACUGGGCGUAAAGCGCACGUAGGCGGAUUGUUAAGUCAGGGGUGAAAUCCUGGAGCUCAACUCCAGAACUGCCUUUGAUACUGGCGAUCUUGAGUCCGGGAGAGGUGAGUGGAACUGCGAGUGUAGAGGUGAAAUUCGUAGAUAUUCGCAAGAACACCAGUGGCGAAGGCGGCUCACUGGCCCGGUACUGACGCUGAGGUGCGAAACGUGGGGACA
rnacentral:rRNA from 1 species